AGAAGAGUCUGAGUUAUGAAACUCUGCCCAAAAGCAUUGAUGAAGAUUAUGCACGCCCCCGCCACGCCCCGCCACGCCCCCAAAAAGUUUGUUGGACUAGGCCCUCACCCUGUAGCCCCUCUGUGGCCUGAAACUACUCAUGUAGCCCAGGCUGGCCUAAAAAUCUCCGUGAACGUCCCACCUUAGUCUUCUUAGAGUUAGGAUUACAGAUACGAGCUAUGGCUUCCAAGAUUUCUUCUGGACACCAGCCCAACCGUUCAAAAGACCCCUAAGGACCUCCAGCCCAUUUUCCGUCUCCCUCCAGUAGAAAUGUCUACCCACUAGGCCUCCCCCAGACCCGUUCUCUGCCCUUGUCUCUCUGUUCCUCUCCAUCCUUCAUCCCAUUGAACUUAAAUGUUCCUUUUCACCCAUGCCGUGGUUGGGCAGAUGGCUUUGGUGAUGUCUCCUUUUCUGAAUGGCUCUGCAGUAUGGACCCGGCCAGCAGUUGCCUGCGGGGACGAAUGAAUGCACGAAGUGACUGGAUCUCUCUGUGCUCCAAAUACUGGCUUCGGACCGUCUGAGCAAACACCUGGCCUACUGCUUCAACCAUGCUGAAGCCCUGGGUUUUUCUCACUAGAAUGUUCCCUGCAGACCGAAUCCUAAAAUAAGGGCUUUCGUUUGCAAGACAACGCCAAUCUCCAAGGAGAGAAAAAGGAGUCCUAGGCGCAGGUUGGAAGCCACCGUCAGGGGCUGUCAAGACUGUGUGUCAUUUCCCUUUGGCCCAGGGCUGUCAUGGGACCUGGAGUCAAGUUGCAACUCUUCCCCAGCAGCCAGCUGAUCUUGGGGGCAGCCCCUUGUGACUUGCAGCCUGCAGUUUCCUCAUCCCGGACCUGAGGAUCAUGAAUGCUCCUUGGCAGGGUUGUGGAAAAGAUUUGGCAGGGAGUAUCGUCUGAACACGGCCGUGCAACCUGCAGCUGGAUCCGGUUAAUAGAAGAAAUUGCUUAGUCGAUGAGAGCUAACACGCCAACCCUAAACCAGCCAGCUUGACCCAGACGCACGGCUCAGACCUUGGUACCAACCCUGUCUCUUGUCACUUGCCAGCUCAACAAUGUGACCUUGAGUUAGCGUGCAUAGGCGGUUCUCCCCUGCGUGAGUGUUUAUAUGCACCACGUGUGUGCAGUGACGUCAGAGACCAGAAGAGGGCGUCAGAUCCCGCGGGACUGGAAUGACAGUUGUGCGUCACCUGUAGGUGGAGGAGAUUGAACUGGUCCUCUGUGUAAGCAAUAUCAAAUAUGAAUUUUUUUCUAUCAAAUACUAUAAAACCUGUUUGGGAUAUGGAAUUAAAAUUAUUAAUCUUGCCCACAUCCUAAAACUUAUAUGCAAAUGUUUAAAUCCCCUCAUCCAAUAAAGCCUUUCAAAGGCCCAUGCUGUAUUCUAGGAGUUUGAUAUCCUGGCGAGGUUACUCCUGUCGGUACCUCUAUGUUUUCCCGUGCACCAAUUUUUUUCUCAGACUAGCCAAUCAGAUAAAACUAUGAAGUCGGGCUGUAACCAAUGGGGGAACGAUGACGUCACCACCCGAGAUACACCAAACACCAAAUGCACUUCCUGUAUCUGUGUUCCAGCUUCAGCGUGCACCCUCUUGAUCAAGAGAAAAGCUUUAAACCGGGUAUUCUGGUGCGCGCGACUUUAGUCCCAGCAUUCGGAG
rnacentral:sRNA from 1 species